rnacentral:lncRNA from 1 species
GGAGACAAUUCCACAACCUAAGCAAUUCGAACCCAAACCUAGUUACAUUUGCUUCCUCUCUGCGUAGGCUCUGUAACUUUUAUCCCACAGAAGUAGAGCUAUUCUAAUCUCUCUGCAGAAGCUGUCCAGGAUGCAGGCAACCAGCUCCCCGAUCCACCCUGCCUUGUCGGGACACCCAGCACCUCACCUAACCCACAGGGCAGGAGCUUCUAUCUUCCUAGAAGAAGCCACCUCAGCAACUACUGAAAUAACCCUGCUUUUUGUUGGACUAGAUUAUUUUCAGUCAGGCAUAAGAAGGGGCUGGUGGUCCACCACUUCCUCCUUCCUCCACCCCACUUCAAACCUCCCCCUCAGCCCUGCCACCCUGAAAAUCUCCUGGCUUCCCUCCUCUUCUCUCUUUUCCCCACCCUUCCCAAAUCUCUGCUUGGAACAAAGUUGAUGGCUCCAUGGAGUGGAUCACAAUCACAGGUUAUUUCCCAAGUCCAGCAUCAGCAGAGCACAACUUUUGAGCUCCCCUCUCCUACUGGAUCACAGGGUAAUAAUGCCCUGCCCCGUGAUAUGGCUUAUUGGCUCCAGGGGAGCAGUGUCUGCCUGGGGCAGCUGGGCAAAAUUCUUGGCAGCUGUGAGCAGGGGCUCAUUCCUGAGCCAGCCCCACCCCCCAACUCUAAUAUGUUUAUCCAAAUCAGAACCCUGCCUGGACUGCAACUUUCUGUACCACACUUUCCUUUUCCCCUGAAGAGGGGGCUUCCUGCUGGGACUGGGGGAAGGAGCCCGACAGGCUUACCCAGAAUCCGUGUCUUCCAGUCAAAAAGUCUCAGAGAAAGAUGCACAGGACUAAAUCAAGCAUUGAGAAAUCUCCCACUGCACUGACCUCCAGCUAUCUCUUCUCCAAAAUGUCAGUUUCCAGGCACACCAGUCAUGGCCUCUAAGAUUCCUCAUGUGGUUCUGGUGACUAUCCAUCCUUAUCUCUGGAAGCAGCAACCACUGCAAAAGGUAGAGCCCUAACUGGCUUGCAUCAUCCUCAUAAAAGUCUGGAAAUCUGAACCUCAAAAUCAAUGGGAGGAAGAAAAGCCAACCAUGGAGUCUGAAAUAUGUCUUUAUCCUGUACAGGGGCUUCAGACUUAUUGCAAAUGAAAAUUCACUCAGACUCUGGUGAGAGGAAGGGAGCUACCAACCUCUCCUGGGCCAGGAUCAAUAGAAGUCUCUAGGUCUGUGUCUCUCUAAAUUGUCUCCUUAGGUUCUAGGAGAAAAGCAAUCGAGAUAAAUGGAUUGAUCAAGAAAGAUUAGGCUAUACUUAUCUGUGAACAGAUUGUAGCCAACUCUCACCCCUGUCCAGGGGAAUGUAAGCCUCUCAAAGAAUUUUAUCAUUUGUAGCUUUAGGACUGAAUAAAACAAAUCCCUUAGAUUAGCA